CGCCGCGUGAGGGAUGACGGCCUUCGGGUUGUAAACCUCUUUCAGUAGGGACGAAGCGCAAGUGACGGUACCUACAGAAGAAGCACCGGCCAACUACGUGCCAGCAGCCGCGGUAAUACGUAGGGUGCGAGCGUUGUUCGGAAUUAUUGGGCGUAAAGGGCUCGUAGGCGGUCUGUUGCGUCAGGAGUGAAAACUCGGGGCUUAACCCCGAGCCUGCUUCUGAUACGGGCAGACUAGAGGUAUGCAGGGGAGAACGGAAUUCCUGGUGUAGCGGUGAAAUGCGCAGAUAUCAGGAGGAACACCGGUGGCGAAGGCGGUUCUCUGGGCAUUACCUGACGCUGAGGAGCGAAAGUGUGGGGAGCGAACAGGAUUAGAUACCCUGGUAGUCCACACCGUAAACGUUGGGCGCUAGGUGUGGGACUCAUCCCACGAGUUCCGUGCCGCAGCUAACGCAUUAAGCGCCCCGCCUGGGGAGUACGGCCGCAAGGCUAAAACUCAAAGGAAUUGACGGGGG
rnacentral:rRNA from 1 species